UACGUAGGGACCAAGCGUUGUUCGGAUUCAUUGGGCGUAAAGGGUGCGUAGGCGGCGCGGUAAGUCGGGUGUGAAAUCUUGGAGCUUAACUCCGAAACUGCAUUCGAUACUGCCGUGCUUGAGGACUGGAGAGGAGACUGGAAUUUACGGUGUAGCGGUGAAAUGCGUAGAUAUCGUGAGGAAGACCAGUGGCGAAGGCGGAUCUCUGGACAGCUCCUGACGCUGAGGCGCGAAGGCUAGGGGAGCAAACGGG
rnacentral:rRNA from 1 species